rnacentral:rRNA from 1 species
UACGGGGGGGGCAAGCGUUGUUCGGAAUUACUGGGCGUAAAGGGCUCGUAGGCGGCCAACUAAGUUCAGACGUGAAAUCCCUCGGCUUAACCGGGGAACUGCGUCUGAUACUGGAUGGCUUGAGUUUGGGAGAGGGACGCGGAAUUUCCGGUGUAGCGGUGAAAUGCGUAGAGAUCGGAAGGAACACCAGUGGCGAAGGCGGCUACCUGGCCAAAUACUGACACUGAGGAACGAAAGCGUGGGAAGCAAACAGG